CACUCUUGGUGGGAAUGCAAACUAGUACAGCUACCUUGGAGAACAGUACAGAGUUUCCUCAAAAAGUUAAAAGUAGAACCACCCAAUGGUCUAUAAUUCCACUCCUGGGUAUUUACCCAAAGGAAAGGAAAUCACUGUCUGGAAGAGACCUCUGCACCCUCACAUUCAUAGCAGCAUUUUUCAUAAUGGUCAAGUCAUGGAAACAGGUUAAGUGUCAAUCCAAUGAGUGAUGCCUAUACAAAGGAAUAUUGCUCAGCUGUAAAAAAGAAUGGGCAGAUCUGGAGGACGUUAUGCUGAGUGAAAUAAGCCAGACACACAAGAAAAGGCUGUGUGGUCUCACUUACAUGUGGAAUCUGAAGAAAAGAUAGAAGCCAAGCACAGAAUGACCUGGGGUAGGGACACGUUGAUUGUGGGGCGCACUGUGGCAGUGAUGCAGGAGGAAGCCUGGAGACCUGGUGCCCAGCAUGGUGACCAGCUGACAGCCCUGUACUGAAUGUGUGUGACUUCAGAUGCUGUGACCACACACAGAUGGUGACUGAGUGGGGAGAAGACGGGUCCAGAGCUUGGCUCCAGCCAUCAUGUCACUGGCCCCUGGACCUCCAACAGCCCAAGAUGAUUCUCUGUGCAGCAGCCUCAGCAGCCACCUGAGAUGCAACGCAAUGUCCCUGGUCAGCAGGGGCGGCCACCCUACUCCACAGUGAUCCAGCCCAGAGCCCCUCAGUGCAGUGACCAAGACCCGGGCUGCAGAGGCUGGGCUGUGGCACACAGCUGUCUUCAGGAGGACAAGCAAUUUAACAUACCAAGGCAUCUGACAUGAGAGGAGAAGCUAUUUUCUUCAUUGGAAAAAUAUUUCAGAUGAUAUGAAUCAUACACAGUAAAAUUGAAAACAGACCAAAGUGGGUUUUGCUGUUGCCAAAACCCACUUCUACAGGGCCUGGCCAGAGGAUUUCCAUCCCUGAGCACUGGACCAGGAAUGUUCCCAGCACAGGGACUCUGGCAGGGAGAAUCUGUGUCUGUAUGGUCCCCUGCACUUGCUGAGGAGAUUGGCCAGCAGUGGGCUGCCUUCAGGUGUCCAUCCCAGGAAAGGCAAUGCUUGCAGCAACUGCCUGGCCUGGUUCCAUCUGAGGCAUCAGUGGUUCCUGUGAACACGAGCAGAACCUGGAGCUGUCAUCCACGUGUGGCCCAUGACAGUGGCAGCUUUGUGAUACCCUGUGCCAUGUCCAGUCUCCACAUUGGCCGCUGCUAUGACACCCGACAGGAACCCAAAGCAGAGAGGGAUUCAGGAGCAGACCAGCUACUGCUUGGCUCCCACAAAUGGUCACCUUGGAACUCUUUAUGGAAGAGGACAAAACACCACCACCACCAUCGUUUCAUAACCCUGCAGCGAAUGUGGAGACAACAACCACCCACCCCCAAAAGGAAACUCCAGCAGGGUACAUGUAUCGAACCUAUGGUGUUGGUCAAGUAUUUUGGAUCAAUAAGUGAGGUUGUACUUUUGACUGGUAAGUGUAAAUCUAAAUCCCUUGGAGGGGAUAUUAUUCUCUGAGGUCACCCCAACCUAAAUUGUUGGCUCAUGGGGAGAUGUGUUGUCUCUAUUUGUUGUAUUGAUGUAGUCUCUUUAGGCCAGUGAAUUAAAGCUCCAUAAGGUCUUGUCCUAUUCCCGCCUCUUCAUGGGAAGGUCCAUUUCACCGAUUGGAAGAGACAGUAAAACCCUCGUGUGGCCAUUCAUAUGAAUCACUAUUUAGGGAACAAGUGAUUAUGCUACCUUUGCACGAUCAGGAUACCAUGGUCGUUUCAUGAAUGUCCCUCGGCAGGCAGGGCCUCUAAUACUACAAAUACUAGAGGUGAUUUUAUUGGUAAACAGGCAGGGUUUGUGUUCGCUGAGUUCCUUUUACUUCUGUUCAUCUUUCCUUGAUUGCCUAUCUGUGUUGGGCCAACAAUUGGUUUGAUAUUGACUUUACAGUUAGGUUAUUUUUAUCUUAUGGUUAACUAUCCAUGGUUAUCUGCUCUGAUAGAAGCUUAUGCAAGGACAAAUAUUUCUUGUUGCACAUACUAGCAUUAUCACUUCUAGUGUGAAAUUCACCCGGUCAUAACUUAGGGGUUGGUUGUCCUUUUUUCGUAUUCAGAUCUUAAGAUCAUAUGCCAGUGCCUGAGCCCUACUAUGAUCGCUCAUCGCCACAGCCCUAACAACCACCCACAGUACGCGAAUCAUAUUUUUCGCCCUUCUAGAACAGCCUGAUACACCCACUUGGUGAUGCAGGGGUGUAAUGCUCGAACCCCUCAUCGGCGAUGGAUGGGUGUCAUGCUAGCGCUCCCCCAUCGGCAAGGGAGUAGUGAUGCCACUACUAAAUCUGACGUUUCCUGAAUAGCUUUCAUCACUGUCAGAGCUGAAGAAGCAGUCAUAUGUUACAGUUAGGGUUAGGGUUAGGAUUAGGGUUAGAGUUAGGGGUUAGGAUAAAGGUUAGGUCACAUUUACACCCCCCGCCCCUUAGGUGUGGGAGGGAGGCACUCAUGCACCUUGCCACCCCUCAGCAUGGGAGGGGGUCAUCCAUGUGCCAGCCCCCCCUCAGUGAGGGAGUAGUGAUGCCACUAUUAAAUCUGACGUUUCAUGAGUGGGUCUUUUCCCUUUCAUGGCUGAAGAAGCAGCAUCUCUUAUGAUGAGGGCUAGGGUUUGGAUUACCCUGAGGAUUAGGGUAAGGGUUAGGUCAUGCUUGCACCUCCCGUUUUGGCAAGGGAGGAAGGUCACACCUGACCCCCGCCACCCUCCUUGUGGAAGAGUGUUCAGGCAUGCACCCUGCCUUCCCUCCACAAGGGAGUAGUGAUGCCACUAUUUAAUGUGUUGUUUUAUGAAUGGCUCUUUUCACUUUCACAGCUGAAGAAGCAGGCAUUUCUUAAGGUAAGGGUUAUGGUUAGGAUUGCUGUUCAUGGUUAGGGUAAGGGAUAGGCCAUGCCUGCACCCUC